CGGCGGACGGGUGAGUAACGCGUGGGUAACCUGCCUCAUACAGGGGGAUAACAGUUGGAAACGGCUGCUAAUACCGCAUAAGCGCACAGUACCGCAUGGUACGGUGUGAAAAACUCCGGUGGUAUGAGAUGGACCCGCGUCUGAUUAGGUAGUUGGUGGGGUAACGGCCUACCAAGCCGACGAUCAGUAGCCGACCUGAGAGGGUGACCGGCCACAUUGGGACUGAGACACGGUCCAA
rnacentral:rRNA from 1 species